UACUUUAGGGUAACUUAGACAUUAAAAUAAAAUUCAGUCUUAGUGUUGUAGGAAAAUCCAAACAAUUACAUGCUCCUUAACCUUUUGGCUUUUACAAAUGGAAGAAAAUGUUUUUAUUCUGACUCAGUAGCCUCCAAGACCAUUAAGAGAACGGGGAGAAAUGUUUAAAUGAGUGAUUAACCAGGUUUUUAUUAAUAGUGCUUUGUUGGCUCUCACAUUGUUUUCCUCUUGAUCAGUUAGCAAGAGUCAAAGUAAACGGUUCCAAGAAACACUGAAUUUGUUCAUGUUUGUCAGCGGCCCAAACAGCCAUAGUCUUUUAAUUUCUCCAGUUUGGGAAUUGCUGUACCUAAGUGCCUAGUUAUUUCUCAUUUCUUAGUUAAGUCUCAACUAAGGAUUUUUCUUUUUUUGCAUCUGUGUUAGUCUAAAAUUUUUAUCACCUUCAAUGUAUAUCACUAAUUUAAUUUUCUUUUUUUUUAAUUUUUUUUAGAAUUUUAGGUUUUUUUUUUUUAAGAUUUAUUUAUUUAUUAUAUGUAAGUACACUGUAGCUGUCUUCAGACACUCCAGAAGAGGGAGUCAGAUCUCGUUGUGGAUGGUUGUGAGCUGCCAUGUGGUUGCUGGAAUUUGAACUCCGGACCUUCAGAAGAGCAGUCGGGUAUUUCUUGAGCAGCAGUUAACUAUUCCCAUGAGCUGAACAAAGACUCAGCCAUGCAUGGUGGCACACACCUUUGAUCCCAGUGCUCAGGAGGCAGAGACAGGUGGAUCUCUGAGUUCAAGGCCAGUGUGGUCUACAAAGUGAGUUCCGAGACAGCCAGAGCUAGAUCCUUGU
rnacentral:lncRNA from 1 species